CUACGUGCCAGCAGCCGCGGUAAUACGUAGGUCCCGAGCGUUGUCCGGAUUUAUUGGGCGUAAAGCGAGCGCAGGCGGUUAGAUAAGUCUGAAGUUAAAGGCUGUGGCUUAACCAUAGUACGCUUUGGAAACUGUUUAACUUGAGUGCAGAAGAGGAGAGUGGAAUUCCAUGUGUAGCGGUGAAAUGCGUAGAUAUAUGGAGGAACACCGGUGGCGAAGGCGACUCUCUGGUCUGUAACUGACGCUGAGGCUCGAAAGCGUGGGUAGCAAACAGGAUUAGAUACCCUGGUAGUCCACGCCGUAAACGAUGAGCACUAGGUGUCGGGUCCUUUCCGGGACUCAGUGCCGCAGCUAACGCAUUAAGCACUCCGCCUGGGGAGUACGACCGCAAGGUUGAAACUCAAAGGAAUUGACGGGGGCCCGCACAAGCGGUGGAGCAUGUGGUUUAAUUCGAAGCAACGCGAAGAACCUUACCAGGUCUUGACAUCC
rnacentral:rRNA from 1 species